rnacentral:rRNA from 1 species
UUAAGCGACUAAGCGUACACGGUGGAUGCCCUGGCAGUCAGAGGCGAUGAAGGACGUGCUAAUCUGCGAUAAGCGUCGGUAAGGUGAUAUGAACCGUUAUAACCGGCGAUUUCCGAAUGGGGAAACCCAGUGUGUUUCGACACACUAUCAUUAACUGAAUCCAUAGGUUAAUGAGGCGAACCGGGGGAACUGAAACAUCUAAGUACCCCGAGGAAAAGAAAUCAACCGAGAUUCCCCCAGUAGCGGCGAGCGAACGGGGAGCAGCCCAGAGCCUGAAUCAGUAUGUGUGUUAGUGGAAGCGUCUGGAAAGGCGCGCGAUACAGGGUGACAGCCCCGUACACAAAAAUGCACAUGCUGUGAGCUCGAUGAGUAGGGCGGGACACGUGGUAUCCUGUCUGAAUAUGGGGGGACCAUCCUCCAAGGCUAAAUACUCCUGACUGACCGAUAGUGAACCAGUACCGUGAGGGAAAGGCGAAAAGAAACCCCGGCGAGGGGAGUGAAAAAGAACCUGAAACCGUGUACGUACAAGCAGUGGGAGCACGCUUAGGCGUGUGACUGCGUACCUUUUGUAUAAUGGGUCAGCGACUUAUAUUCUGUAGCAAGGUUAACCGAAUAGGGGAGCCGAAGGGAAACCGAGUCUUAACUGGGCGUUAAGUUGCAGGGUAUAGACCCGAAACCCGGUGAUCUAGCCAUGGGCAGGUUGAAGGUUGGGUAACACUAACUGGAGGACCGAACCGACUAAUGUUGAAAAAUUAGCGGAUGACUUGUGGCUGGGGGUGAAAGGCCAAUCAAACCGGGAGAUAGCUGGUUCUCCCCGAAAGCUAUUUAGGUAGCGCCUCGUGAAUUCAUCUCCGGGGGUAGAGCACUGUUUCGGCAAGGGGGUCAUCCCGACUUACCAACCCGAUGCAAACUGCGAAUACCGGAGAAUGUUAUCACGGGAGACACACGGCGGGUGCUAACGUCCGUCGUGAAGAGGGAAACAACCCAGACCGCCAGCUAAGGUCCCAAAGUCAUGGUUAAGUGGGAAACGAUGUGGGAAGGCCCAGACAGCCAGGAUGUUGGCUUAGAAGCAGCCAUCAUUUGAAGAAAGCGUAAUAGCUCACUGGUCGAGUCGGCCUGCGCGGAAGAUGUAACGGGGCUAAACCAUGCACCGAAGCUGCGGCAGCGACGCUUAUGCGUUGUUGGGUAGGGGAGCGUUCUGUAAGCCUGCGAAGGUGUGCUGUGAGGCAUGCUGGAGGUAUCAGAAGUGCGAAUGCUGACAUAAGUAACGAUAAAGCGGGUGAAAAGCCCGCUCGCCGGAAGACCAAGGGUUCCUGUCCAACGUUAAUCGGGGCAGGGUGAGUCGACCCCUAAGGCGAGGCCGAAAGGCGUAGUCGAUGGGAAACAGGUUAAUAUUCCUGUACUUGGUGUUACUGCGAAGGGGGGACGGAGAAGGCUAUGUUGGCCGGGCGACGGUUGUCCCGGUUUAAGCGUGUAGGCUGGUUUUCCAGGCAAAUCCGGAAAAUCAAGGCUGAGGCGUGAUGACGAGGCACUACGGUGCUGAAGCAACAAAUGCCCUGCUUCCAGGAAAAGCCUCUAAGCAUCAGGUAACAUCAAAUCGUACCCCAAACCGACACAGGUGGUCAGGUAGAGAAUACCAAGGCGCUUGAGAGAACUCGGGUGAAGGAACUAGGCAAAAUGGUGCCGUAACUUCGGGAGAAGGCACGCUGAUAUGUAGGUGAAGUCCCUCGCGGAUGGAGCUGAAAUCAGUCGAAGAUACCAGCUGGCUGCAACUGUUUAUUAAAAACACAGCACUGUGCAAACACGAAAGUGGACGUAUACGGUGUGACGCCUGCCCGGUGCCGGAAGGUUAAUUGAUGGGGUUAGCGCAAGCGAAGCUCUUGAUCGAAGCCCCGGUAAACGGCGGCCGUAACUAUAACGGUCCUAAGGUAGCGAAAUUCCUUGUCGGGUAAGUUCCGACCUGCACGAAUGGCGUAAUGAUGGCCAGGCUGUCUCCACCCGAGACUCAGUGAAAUUGAACUCGCUGUGAAGAUGCAGUGUACCCGCGGCAAGACGGAAAGACCCCGUGAACCUUUACUAUAGCUUGACACUGAACAUUGAGCCUUGAUGUGUAGGAUAGGUGGGAGGCUUUGAAGUGUGGACGCCAGUCUGCAUGGAGCCGACCUUGAAAUACCACCCUUUAAUGUUUGAUGUUCUAACGUUGACCCGUAAUCCGGGUUGCGGACAGUGUCUGGUGGGUAGUUUGACUGGGGCGGUCUCCUCCUAAAGAGUAACGGAGGAGCACGAAGGUUGGCUAAUCCUGGUCGGACAUCAGGAGGUUAGUGCAAUGGCAUAAGCCAGCUUGACUGCGAGCGUGACGGCGCGAGCAGGUGCGAAAGCAGGUCAUAGUGAUCCGGUGGUUCUGAAUGGAAGGGCCAUCGCUCAACGGAUAAAAGGUACUCCGGGGAUAACAGGCUGAUACCGCCCAAGAGUUCAUAUCGACGGCGGUGUUUGGCACCUCGAUGUCGGCUCAUCACAUCCUGGGGCUGAAGUAGGUCCCAAGGGUAUGGCUGUUCGCCAUUUAAAGUGGUACGCGAGCUGGGUUUAGAACGUCGUGAGACAGUUCGGUCCCUAUCUGCCGUGGGCGCUGGAGAACUGAGGGGGGCUGCUCCUAGUACGAGAGGACCGGAGUGGACGCAUCACUGGUGUUCGGGUUGUCAUGCCAAUGGCACUGCCCGGUAGCUAAAUGCGGAAGAGAUAAGUGCUGAAAGCAUCUAAGCACGAAACUUGCCCCGAGAUGAGUUCUCCCUGACUCCUUGAGAGUCCUGAAGGAACGUUGAAGACGACGACGUUGAUAGGCCGGGUGUGUAAGCGCAGCGAUGCGUUGAGCUAACCGGUACUAAUGAACCGUGAGGCUUAACCUU